UAGGGAAUCUUCGGCAAUGGACGAAAGUCUGACCGAGCAACGCCGCGUGAGUGAAGAAGGUUUUCGGAUCGUAAAACUCUGUUGUUAGAGAAGAACAAGGAUGAGAGUAAAAUGUUCAUCCCUUGACGGUAUCUAACCAGAAAGCCACGGCUAACUACGUGCCAGCAGCCGCGGUAAAUACGUAGGUGGCAAGCGUUGUCCGGAUUUAUUGGGCGUAAAGCGAGCGCAGGCGGUUUCUUAAGUCUGAUGUGA
rnacentral:rRNA from 1 species